AUAUGGAGGGUGCAAGCGUUACUCGGAAUCACUGGGCGUAAAGCGCGCGCAGGCGGUCUUUUAAGUUGGAUGUGAAAGCCUACGGCUCAACCGUAGAACUGCAUCCAAAACUAUUAGACUAGAGUGUGGGAGAGGAAGAUGGAAUUAGUUGUGUAGGGGUAAAAUCCGUAGAGAUAACUAGGAAUACCAAAAGCGGAGGCAAUCUUCUGGAACACUACUGACGCUGAGGCGCGAAAGCGUGGGGAGCAAACAGGAUUAGAAACCCUAGUAGUCC
rnacentral:rRNA from 1 species